AUAGUUGUGUCAACUGUGAAUAGUAAGAGAUAAAUAAUGAUAUUAUCUUACCUAUAAGUGUCGUCAAAAACUAGUGCCAGAAGACUCGGUAAGGCUAGAGACGCAAACGUUAUUCAUCUUUAACAGGCGUAAAGGGUUUGUAGGCGGCUUUGAAAAUUUAAAAAAUUGUUCCUUCAAAAUAAUAAUUUUUUAGACUAGUCAAAGCUUGAAUCAAGAAGAGGUUAAAUUCAAAUAAUAUUUAGAUCUUAAGGAUUGACAACUGUAAAACCUAAGUAGAAUACUAACGGCGAAAGCUUUUUUCUAUUACUGAUUGACGCUGAAAAACUAAGGGGAGGAAAGAAAAAAGGAUGUGCGACUUGAAAAGUCUAAAUGUUGUAUUGUAUUCUCAGAAUACAUUAUUUGUCGUCUAAUAAUAACCUACCUAAACAUGCAAGAAUUUAAAAUUAAUUUGUUUAAUCUGAAAUUCCCAGUAAUGGUCUUGUGUGAAGCUUUAGGGUAAAAUUAGUGCCGCCAGGCGGUGGGAUUAUCUAUCCUAAGCUAUUUUUAAAAUAUUAUCCUAAAAAGGGUUAAUUAAAUGGUAAAUUAAUGAAGGUUGAAUCCUAUGGUUAAGGAAACUAAACUUAUGUAUUAAAGUAUAUUAAUUUGGCAAAUAAGUGUCCUUAUUAUUUGAAGACGAUCAUCGCCAAGCGAAAAAUUAAUAUUACAAAGUAAGAACCUAAGGGAAUCUAUCGUACACAUUUAGGAACAAGGAAAGGCCUAUAAUCUGCACUAAUUAAUUCAAUAUUAAUCAUAAUAAUAUUAACGGCUCGUCCAAGUAAUUAUGAAUGCUAUUAGAAUUAUUAGGGCUAGCUUUUUUGUAAAGAAAAGUACAUGAUUAGAGGUAGUAUGAUUUAGAAUAAAGCGAAUGACUAAUUGUAAUGAUUAGUAUAAGGUUAAUUAACCUACCGGAAACGGUGCCCACUUUCUAAAGGUGCUAUAUAGUAUAGAACUUUCACUCACAUUUUUAUUUUUAUAUAGUCUCACGUUAGAAAAAAAAGAAUAAAAAUAAAGGAAUAAAAGAGCGAAACCUAUUAGUGCUUGAGCCGUAUGCAGUGAAAGUUGCUUGUACGGUUCUUAGGGGGGGAAAGACGGCGACGUCCUACCUAUCCCAAAUAGAGACCCUCGUAUCCCUCUCUAUCAACGAUGAAUGGUAGUUAUUAGAUUUGAAAAACUAAGAACGAUGUUAACACGAAAACCAUUCCGCCUUGUGAGUACGACUGCAAAGUUGAAAACAAAAAAAU
rnacentral:rRNA from 1 species